rnacentral:miRNA from 1 species
CAGUUGCAUUGAAUUUCAGACACUCAGCAAAUAAGUUUUAGUAUAAGUCUGUCCCAUGCAAUAUUUGGGACAUACUUAUACUACACAUAAUGUCUUGUGUAUUU